rnacentral:rRNA from 1 species
UGGGGAAUUUUGCGCAAUGGGCGAAAGUCUGACGGAGCGACGCCGCGUGGGCGAAGAAGGCCGUGAGGUUGUAAAGCCCUUUUCUACUUGAGGAAUAAGCCUAGGAGGGAAUGCCUGGGUGAUGACGGUAGGGUAGGAAUAAGCCCCGGCUAAUUACGUGCCAGCAGCCGCGGUAACACGUAUGGGGCGAGCGUUGUUCGGAAUUAUUGGGCGUAAAGGGCGCGUAGGCGGACGUGCAAGUCUGGUGUGAAAGACCGCAGCUCAACUGCGGGCACGCGCUGGAAACUGUAUGUCUUGAAUCCUUGAGGGGGAACUGGAAUUCCUGGUGUAGGGGUGAAAUCUGUAGAUAUCAGGAAGAACACCGGUGGCGAAGGCGAGUUCCUGGCAAGUGAUUGACGCUGAGGCGCGAAAGCGUGGGGAGCGAACAGGAUUAGAUACCCCUGUAGUCC